rnacentral:rRNA from 1 species
GCUACACAUGCAGUCGAACGGCAGCACAGGAGAGCUUGCUCUCUGGGUGGCGAGUGGCGGACGGGUGAGGAAUACAUCGGAAUCUACUUUUUCGUGGGGGAUAACGUAGGGAAACUUACGCUAAUACCGCAUACGACCUACGGGUGAAAGCAGGGGAUCUUCGGACCUUGCGCGAUUGAAUGAGCCGAUGUCGGAUUAGCUAGUUGGCGGGGUAAAGGCCCACCAAGACGACGAUCCGUAGCUGGUCUGAGAGGAUGAUCAGCCACACUGGAACUGAGACACGGUCCAGACUCCUACGGGAGGCAGCAGUGGGGAAUAUUGGACAAUGGGCGCAAGCCUGAUCCAGCCAUACCGCGUGGGUGAAGAAGGCCUUCGGGUUGUAAAGCCCUUUUGUUGGGAAAGAAAUCCAGCUGGCUAAUACCCGGUUGGGAUGACGGUACCCAAAGAAUAAGCACCGGCUAACUUCGUGCCAGCAGCCGCGGUAAUACGAAGGGUGCAAGCGUUACUCGGAAUUACUGGGCGUAAAGCGUGCGUAGGUGGUCGUUUAAGUCCGUUGUGAAAGCCCUGGGCUCAACCUGGGAACUGCAGUGGAUACUGGGCGACUAGAGUGUGGUAGAGGGUAGCGGAAUUCCUGGUGUAGCAGUGAAAUGCGUAGAGAUCAGGAGGAACAUCCAUGGCGAAGGCAGCUACCUGGACCAACACUGACACUGAGGCACGAAAGCGUGGGGAGCAAACAGGA